UACGAAGGGGGCUAGCGUUGCUCGGAAUCACUGGGCGUAAAGGGCGCGUAGGCGGCGUUUUAAGUCGGGGGUGAAAGCCUGUGGCUCAACCACAGAAUUGCCUUCGAUACUGGGACGCUUGAGUCUGGUAGAGGUUGGUGGAACUGCGAGUGUAGAGGUGAAAUUCGUAGAUAUUCGCAAGAACACCGGUGGCGAAGGCG
rnacentral:rRNA from 1 species